rnacentral:rRNA from 1 species
CCUACGGGCGGCUGCAGUGAGGAAUAUUGGUCAAUGGACGAGAGUCUGAACCAGCCAAGUAGCGUGAAGGAUGACUGCCCUAUGGGUUGUAAACUUCUUUUAUAUGGGAAUAAAAUGUUCCACGUGUGGGAUUUUGUAUGUACCCUAUGAAUAAGGAUCGGCUAACUCCGUGCCAGCAGCCGCGGUAAUACGGAGGAUCCGAGCGUUAUCCGGAUUUAUUGGGUUUAAAGGGAGCGUAGGUGGAUUGUUAAGUCAGUUGUGAAAGUUUGCGGCUCAACCGUAAAAUUGCAGUUGAAACUGGCAGUCUUGAGUACAGUAGAGGUGGGCGGAAUUCGUGGUGUAGCGGUGAAAUGCUUAGAUAUCACGAAGAACUCCGAUUGCGAAGGCAGUUCACUGGACUGCAACUGACACUGAGGCUCGAAAGUGUGGGUAUCAAACAGGAUUAGAUACCCGAGUAGUC